rnacentral:lncRNA from 10 species
GCCCGCGCUCCCUCGCCAUCCCCGCAGGGAGAAGAUGGUGCUGGUUGGGAAGUCCCUGAGAGCGAGUCUCCCUGUCUGGCCCCAGUACAGGGGCCUUGGAAUCACACCUGGGCUCAGAGUCACUUGGAACUCUUCUGUGGCAUCUGAAGCAGAUGGACGAAGCCAAGAGGGCCGAGAGUAUCUCAGCACCUAGAAAUGGACAAGGCUGGUUAUUAGAACAAAGAUUUCGCAGGUGAGGCAAGAAUCUGCAUCAAAGAGCCCUGGAAGCAAUCAUGGCUCAACUGUGAUGCCUUUAGAACAUGAAGUCCUCCAAGAAGAUGCCAUAGGAAUGGCCUCCAUCCCAGGGCCUGGAGAGCAGCCAGAGACAAGAAGAGUAGCCCAGGAGGGCACUGGCAGUCAGUGCUACACUGUGGCCUGUCAGUCUCAGAGCCAGGAUUUAAUCACUGGAUCUCCCAUUAACCAGUCAUAAUGAAGUAAGAACAAGAAGAUGGGGAAGAGGAAGUGUAAAACCGUGGCUUAAAUUUGCCAAGGAUAAGCUGAGUGUACUUCAGCAGUCAUUUGCACAGAAUCCUUAUCCUAAUUUUACAACCAGGGAAAAACUGGCUGGACAGUCUCUUGUCCUGUGUUUGUAAUUGAUGUAAGUAAAA